AUGGCUCAGGAUGAACGCUAGCUACAGGCUUAACACAUGCAAGUCGAGGGGCAGCAUAACGAAAGCUUGCUUUGUGAUGGCGACCGGCGCACGGGUGAGUAACGCGUAUCCAACCUUCCCUAUACUAGAGGAUAGCCCGGCGAAAGUCGGAUUAAUACUCUAUGUUCUUCGUAGAAGACAUCUGAAAUGAAGCAAAGGUUUACCGGUAUAGGAUGGGGAUGCGUCUGAUUAGGUUGUUGGCGGGGUAACGGCCCACCAAGCCUACGAUCAGUAGGGGUUCUGAGAGGAAGGUCCCCCACAUUGGAACUGAGACACGGUCCAAACUCCUACGGGAGGCAGCAGUGAGGAAUAUUGGUCAAUGGACGAGAGUCUGAACCAGCCAAGUAAGCGUGCAGGAUGACCGGCCCUAUGGGUUGUAAACUGCUUUUAUACAGGGAUAAAGUGACGUACGUGUACGUUUUUGUAGGUACUGUAUGAAUAAGGACCGGCUAAUUCCGUGCCAGCCGCCGC
rnacentral:rRNA from 1 species